rnacentral:rRNA from 1 species
GAUGAACGCUGGCGGCGUGCCUAAUACAUGCAAGUCGAGCGAACAGACGAGGAGCUUGCUCCUCUGACGUUAGCGGCGGACGGGUGAGUCACACGUGUAUAACCUACCUAUAAGACUGGGAUAAUUUCGGGAAACCGGAGCUAAUACCGGAUAAUAUAUUGCACCGCAUGGUUCAAUAGUGAAAGACGGUUUUGCUGUCACUUAUAGAUGGAUCUGCGCCGCAUUAGCUAGUUGGUAAGGUAACGGCUUACCAAGGCAACGAUGCGUAGCCGACCUGAGAGGGUGAUCGGCCACACUGGAACUGGGACACGGUCCAGACGCCUGCGGGAGGCAGCAGAAGGGAAUCUUACGCAAUGGGCGAGAGCUUGACGGAGCAACGCGGCGUGAGUGAUGAAGGUCUUCGGAUCGUAAAACUCUGUUAUUAGGGAAGAACAAAUGUGUAAGUAACUAUGCACGUCUUGACGGUACCUAAUCAGAAAGCAACGGCUAACUACGUG